rnacentral:rRNA from 1 species
GACGAACGCUGGCGGCGUGCUUAACACAUGCAAGUCGAACGGGCCUGUCUUCUUUUUUGGGGGUGGGUUGAGUGGCGAACGGGUGAGUAUCACGUGAGUAACCUGCCCUUCGGUCCUGGAUAACCGCUUGAAAGGGCGGCUAAUACGGGGUGGUCCGGUUGGUCCGCAUGGGCUGGUCGGGAUAGAUUCACUGUUUUUGGUGUUUCGGCGGGGGAUGGGCUCGCGGCCUAUCAGCUUGUUGGUGGGGUGAUGGCCUACCAAGGCGGUGACGGGUAGCCGGCCUGAGAGGGUGGGCGGCCACACUGGGACUGAGAUACGGCCCAGACUCCUGCGGGAGGCAGCAGUGGGGGGUAUUGCACAAUGGGCGGAAGCCUGAUGCAGCGACGUCGCGUGAGGGAUGGAGGACUUCGGGUUGUGAACCUCUGUUUCCGGUGGUGAAGGCCCUGUCCGGGUGGUGGGGUUGACGGUAGCCGGGGAUGAAGCGCCGGCUAACUACGU